rnacentral:rRNA from 1 species
UACGUAGGGGGCAAGCGUUGUCCGGAAUCAUUGGGCGUAAAGCGCGUGUAGGUGGUUCGGUAAGUCGGGUGUUAAACCCCCAGGCUCAACCUGGGGACGCCACUCGAUACUGCUGUGACUAGAGUCCGGUAGGGGAGCGCGGAAUUCCUGGUGUAGCGGUGAAAUGCGCAGAUAUCAGGAGGAACACCAGCGGCGAAGGCGGCGCUCUGGGCCGGUACUGACACUGAGGAGCGAAAGCGUGGGUAGCAAACAGG